AUUGAACGCUGGCGGCAGGCCUAACACAUGCAAGUCGAGCGGAGCGGCGGACGGGUGAGUAAUGCCUAGGAAUCUGCCUGGUAGUGGGGGAUAACGUCCGGAAACGGGCGCUAAUACAGCAUACUAUCAGAUGAGCCUAGGUCGGAUUAGCUAGUUUGUGGGGUAAAGGUCUACCAAGGCGACGAUCCGUAACUGGUCUGAGAGGAUGUUCAGUAACACUGGAACUGAGACACGGGCCAGACUCCUACGGGAGGCAGCAGUGGGGAAGAUUGGACAAUGGGCGAAAGCCUGAUCCAGCCAUGCCUGUGGUGUGAAGAAGGUCUUCGGUUUGUAAAGCACUUUAAGUUGGGAGGCGUUACCAACAGAAUAAGCACCGGCUAACUUCGUGCCAGCAGCCGCGGUAAUAC
rnacentral:rRNA from 1 species